AAUUAGUGAAUUUAUCAGGUGGGUAUGGUUGAAUUUUUCAUUCCCAUUUCACAAUUAUGAAAUUAGCUUAUACAUUUCAAAUGAAUGUGACAAGAUUCUUCCUACGAUCAAAGUGUACAUGCAUAACAACAAAUUGACCUAUUUGAUAAUACAUACAUGCCUGUAGAGUUGGGCAAGUUUAAGUUAUGAUGCCACAAACGUGGGUUUUACGCUGCUUUGUCUUUUUGCUUAAUCUGGA
rnacentral:misc_RNA from 1 species